rnacentral:tRNA from 1 species
GCGACAGUGGUGUAGGGGUAACACAACAGCCUUCCAAGCUGUUAUCAUGGGUUCGAAUCCCAUCUGUCGCU